UGGGGAAUAUUGCGCAAUGGGGGGAACCCUGACGCAGCCAUGCCGCGUGAAUGAAGAAGGCCUUCGGGUUGUAAAGUUCUUUCGGUAUUGAGGAAGGUUGAUGUGUUAAUAGCACAUCAAAUUGACGUUAAAUACAGAAGAAGCACCGGCUAACUCCGUGCCAGCAGCCGCGGUAAUACGGAGGGUGCGAGCCGUUAAUCGGAAUAACUGGGCGUAAAGGGCACGCAGGCGGUUAUUUAAGUGAGGUGUGAAAGCCCCGGGCUUAACCUGGGAAUUGCAUUUCAGACUGGGUAACUAGAGUACUUUAGGGAGGGGUAGAAUUCCACGUGUAGCGGUGAAAUGCGUAGAGAUGUGGAGGAAUACCGAAGGCGAAGGCAGCCCCUUGGGAAUGUACUGACGCUCAUGUGCGAAAGCGUGGGGAGCAAACAGGAUUAGAUACCCUGGUAGUCCACGCUGUAAACGCUGUCGAUUUGGGGGUUGGGGUUUAACUCUGGCGCCCGUAGCUAACGUGAUAAAUCGACCGCCUGGGGAGUACGGCCG
rnacentral:rRNA from 1 species